UACAGAGGGGGCAAGCGUUGUUCGGAAUUACUGGGCGUAAAGGGCGCGUAGGCGGCCUGUUAAGUCGAACGUGAAAUCCCCGGGCUCAACCCGGGAACUGCGUCCGAUACUGGCAGGCUUGAAUCCGGGAGAGGGAUGUGGAAUUCCAGGUGUAGCGGUGAAAUGCGUAGAUAUCAGGAAGAACACCCGUGGCGAAAGCGGCUCUCUGGAACGGUACUGACGCUGAGACGCGAAAGCGUGGGGAGCGAACAGG
rnacentral:rRNA from 1 species